AGUUCCCAGAAUUCUGACACGGAGGCAUGUGCCUAUGAGAUCUUCUUUUCAGGCCUCCAUCCUUCCUGGCCCACCUUCAGUACUGAGGAAUUACAGCAGAAAACAUGAAGAAUUGGUGCUUGCUGACUUGCCUGAAAGAAGCAAAGGACCUCAAAUCUCAGCAUGUACACCAGUAGGAUCAGGCUGAACAGUUUCAAGCAUUGUGUUUCAGUCCUCAGAGCCACCAUACAAGGUACAGUCUGUUUUUUGAACAAAUGGCACAAUUGAGUCAUGGUGAAGUCAACCUUGUGGAUAAGAAGAAGGAUUAACUCUGGCCCUUGGUAGAGCACUGAUCUCGUAUGAUCAAGGCCCUGGAUCUAACUAUGGGAAAUGAAAAAGAAAUUUCAAACAUAAAGACACACACAAACAAUUUAGAACUACCAAUGCAGCUACUUUCAACUUCCCUGUACCUUCCUGAAAUGUUUCAAAUGUAAUAUUGAAACUGAAUAUUUGUGGUGUCUUGAGUUCAAACAUUCAUUCAUUGAUUUACGUUUCUGAGGAAUGAUGGGUACUCAUCUAGUCUCAGUCCAUUUAAGAUUCACAAACAUUGUCCCAGACAAUGAGACCCAUCUUUCUUCAGCAUAGAGAAGAUGAAUCACUAGACUAUGGACGUAGCAGUAAAGGGGCUUGAUACAGCCAAACUUUGGCUCAGACCCUCUGGCCAGGCCCACUUGGAUAAUGUGCCUGCUUUUGCACAGUUGUCAGUCUUAUCAGCAAGUGUCCUGUGAGCAAAAAAACCAAGAAGACUCCUCCAGUAAGAGUAAAAGAUGCUUGUGACUGUCUGCAGUUAAGGUAGUAGAGUUCUCAUAACUUGGGCCUUCAUUUCUCCAGGCCCAGCUGUCCCCUGGCUUUGGCAGUGGCAUAUUGAUGGGACUGUCUGUUCUAGAAAACACAUGCUGGGAUGUUAGAAAGGAUGAGCUCUCAGCUUCCAUAGUGAUAUCUCUUUUGGAGCCCUUACUUGAGGGCCUAGUACCAAAUCAGGCCAUAUUCACAGAUGGUUCUUUCUUUCCCACCACUGAUAAUCAGGCCUUUCUUUAUUUUAUUCAUAUUACUGUUGUUGAUAGAGUCUCAUGUUUCCCAGGCAGGCACAGAGUCAUGAUCCUUCUGCCCUAUGUCCAUGGUGUUGAAAUAAGAGGCUUGUCACCAC
rnacentral:lncRNA from 1 species